CCAGGGUUGCCUACCCCUGUCCUGUGGGGACAGCCGAAGAACCCUUUUGGAAAACUUUUUUUCUAAGAGUGUAGGUACACACGCACACCUUACUAACCCUCUCUUUCUCUCUCUCCAGUCGUUUGUGUGACCGCUUCCCUUCGGAGGUCUGUAGACAUGUUCCGCUCUCUCAGACUGGUCUUUAAGGCUGUGGUCAACAACACAUUUAACAACAGUAUUGAGGUAGGUGUCCUGAGUGGAGGCCUGUAACUGUGAGGAGUGGACCGCGAACAAAGCGCAUCAACACAUCAACAGCGCCUCCCUCAUCUACCAGCUGUCUAACACACCUGGAGACGUACCUGCCUGUCCCUCAAGUCACAUACACAAACAAGGACUGGGAGAGGAGAUACCUGUCUGCCAUCGUAAGGAAGAUAAUUAUUGAUGGCUAGAAAGCACACCCUGUCCUGUAAGGGGGAGGCUCCUAUCUCUGUCCCCCGGGAUAAAAGGAACCAGGUGUAUCUGGGUUUUAACAAUGUAGCAGCUCUGACUGUACUGACUGGGGAAACCAGACUGGGGAAGCCAGGGGCAUCAAUGACAGGAUCGGUGUGUUUGUCCAUGAGGAGGAGCUGCUUUGUGUCCCAAGUUCAGAUGGUCAUGACCUCUGCCCUCCAUGCCUUCACCCUAUUGGCUGACCUCACACUGCGACCUCUUUGGGGGACAUUAUCUCUGUGAGGAGGUAGAGGGGGCCGAUGAGGAGACGGUGUACCACAUUAAAUGCCCUCCCCCAUCAACGGAGGCAAGAGCCCGAGACUUCGUGUUCCCGUUGUCAAAGAGACAGUCCUGCAACGAGUAAAGGGACCCCUAUGUGCUAGGCCUGAGGUCUGUAACCGUGGAAACAUCUCCCCCCCUGACCUCACCUUCUGGACGAUAGCGGGGUGAACAGGCAGUGGCUCGGGUGGUUGUUGUCCUUGACGAUCGUUAGCCGUCACAAUUCAGAGACAAUGUGUUAAAACCAUGUGUUCCAGGUGUGUUACCACAGCCUGGUGGCGUCAGACGUGUUGCCGCAUGUAGCAUGUAACAUGUAGCAUGUAACCUGGCAGGCUGGUCUGAGUCUAUGGAGGAGACGGCUAGCACACGUACCACCUUCCUGGAGAGACACCACACACACACACUAAACCGGAGCCUGAUGGUUGAAUUGAUACUAUAUGGAGACUCGUGAUUCUAACGAGACAAAACGCGUCUCCAGUCGAGCGGCUGCUAAUACAGGCGUCCAAUUUACAACGGACGGUGUUUCCGAAUGACCCGAAAUGCCUUGGUCACAGCAAAUGUAGGUCAUGUAAUG